CUACGGGAUGCAGCAGUGAGGAAUAUUGGUCAAUGGGCGGGAGCCUGAACCAGCCAAGUCGCGUGAAGGAAGAAGGAUCUAUGGUUCGUAAACUUCUUUUGCAGGGGAAUAAAGUGCAGGACGUGUCCUGUUUUGUAUGUACCCUGAGAAUAAGGAUCGGCUAACUCCGUGCCAGCAGCCGCGGUAAUACGGAGGAUCCGAGCGUUAUCCGGAUUUAUUGGGUUUAAAGGGUGCGUAGGUGGUUUGAUAAGUCAGCGGUGAAAGUUUGCAGCUUAACUGUAAAAAUGCCGUUGAAACUGUCGGACUUGAGUGUAAAUGAGGUAGGCGGAAUGCGUGGUGUAGCGGUGAAAUGCAUAGAUAUCACGCAGAACUCCGAUUGCGAAGGCAGCUUACUAAGCUACAACUGACACUGAAGCACGAAAGCGUGGGGAUCAAACAGGAUUAGAUACCCGCGUAGUC
rnacentral:rRNA from 1 species